rnacentral:rRNA from 1 species
CUUGACUCUAGUCUGGAAUUGUGGGGAGACGCGAGAGGUGUAGCAUAAGUGGGAGGCAGUUCCCCUCGUGGGAGUCUGCCGCCGGUGAAAUACCACUACUCUCGUGGUUUCCCCACUCAGUCGGUGAGACGGUAUCCGCCCGCCUUGUACAAGGCGUGGCGCGGUUCUGGCAUUGAGCCGGUGGACCCUUAACCGGGUCCAACCGGUUUGGCCGAUCCGAUGACAGUUCCAGGUAGGGAGUUUGACUGGGGCGGUACAUCCAUCAAACGAUAACGUGGGUGUCCUAAGGUCAGCUCGGCGAGGACAGAAACCUCGCGUAGAGCAAAAGGGCAAAAGCUGGCUUGAUCCUGGGACCCAGUACCUCCCGGGACUGCGAAAGCAGGGCCUAUCGAUCCUUUUGGCGCGGAGAGUUUCCGGCAAGAGGUGUCAGAAAAGUACCACAGGGG